UACGGAGGGUGCAAGCGUUGUCCGGAAUCACUGGGCGUAAAGGGCGCGUAGGCGGCUCAUGAAGGCUGUGGUGAAAGCUCGGGGCUCAACCCCGAGUCGGCCGUGCGAACUGAGUCGCUUGAGCACUGUAGAGGCAGGCGGAAUUCCGGGUGUAGCGGUGGAAUGCGUAGAGAUCCGGAAGAACACCGGUGGCGAAGGCGGCCUGCUGGGCAGUAGCUGACACUGAGGCGCGACAGCGUGGGGAGCAAACAGG
rnacentral:rRNA from 1 species